GGGAGGGGGCGGUGGUGAGAGGCUCGCUCUGGCAAGUCAGAAACGGGACCAGUCUUUCUCUCCUCUUUAAAAUCUGCCUUUUCCUUGGCCAGUCCUUCUGAAGUUCCAACCUUUGACGUGAUUUUCUCUGUUAGGAAUUUAUGAUCCAAACAUCUGUCUGUCUGUCUGUCUUUUUGAUCUUCUGAUUCGGCGACUCUUCUUUGGCUUCGUCACUUCUGAACCUUCCCCCACUCCCACUCCCACCCCCCAGCUGCCAUGGCGUGGAGUGGGUGGGAUAGGGUUCGAUUGUACUUGGCUUGUUCUGUCUCCGGGUGGCUCGUGCACGGCACACCUGAACAAAGAAGCAAAUUGAAAGCCAGCUGUUUGCGCUUCCCCUCUCCUCCCACCCCUGGUCCCGCGGGGAUUUCUGGCCCGAAGCCGGGGUGCCGUGGGUAGCCCUGCAUUUGACCUGGGGGCUUCUCCUCUGAUCCUAGCGCUUGCUUCCUCUUAGCUAAACCUUGUCUUAGCACUCCUGUCUGCACCUAAAUUGCCUUAUCUUUAAAAACUAGAUUACCCUUUUAGCUCAAAAUAGAUGGUUCUCAUAAUUAAUAAUGUUCGGCUGAGAUUUUGUUUUAUCUCUGUUUAAAAGUUUGUGUGUAGUGUAUUUUUAAAGUCUGUUUGCUAUUGUCUCACAGCACAUGGUAGAGUCAAAUAUUUGAUUGGAAUCAUGUUAAAGACAUCUGAAUCCAGUGUUUUCUCUUUUUGCAGUAGUUUUGAAAUAACUAAAAUUUCUAUGCCUCUAAAAUGGAAAAAAAAAAAAAAAAAAAAAAAAAAAAAACAGUUCCAGAUAUUUGGCUAAAUUUGACCUGAAUUUUCUGUGGAUUCUGUUCUGCUCGUCGGGGCCAUUGUUCAGUAGCAGGUGUAUGCCAUCUCAGGUUUGAAGCCAUUUUGUGUUUCUAACAUGUAUAAACCAUAGUUUGCAGCUUUAUGAGAAGGAGCCAAAACUAGGAGGCCUGGAAGUCAAGGAGAUGAAGCUUACUCACUUCCUGGAAGGUUAGGAUUGUUUUGGCACCACAUUGGCCACUUGUGGCCCUCAGGGUUUGACGCUGGGAGGAAAAUGGUAUUCUUAAGCUUCCUGGUCAUUAUUUGUGAUUUAGGAAUCUGGGUUUGUCCUGCCAAAGGAACUGCAGCCCCUGAAAGUGUGUGGUGUUCUGUUCAGUUCGUUUUUGCAUUUCAGGGUUCUUUCCCAUUUUUACACCAGGAUCAGGACUUGACAGUCCUCUCUACCAGAGCACUAGAGUGUGGCAGGAACCAGAUUCAAAUGGAAUUGGGAAAUGUUUAACAAAAUAAAUUAAAAUACUGGAGUAUAUUGGUGGUGAUACUAUUUGAUUUGCAAAGUUAACAUAGGGCAUACUGGGAUCCUUAGUUUAGGAGUUUUGACUCCACUACCCUAUUCGAGUAAAGGUGCAAUUUUCCCCCGUAAGGAUUAAACUUGGCUUUGCUGGAUAAGGUGCUCUUGUUUGUGAACUUGUAUUUUUUUUUUAACCUUUUGGAAGAUCAUGUUUCAAAAUUUUUAUUUAUAAUCCAGGUUGCCAGGUUUACAUGAUCCUGACUUUGGUUCCUUGUGUAAUAGUGAUUACUGACCCCCACCACCCAAAGCCCAAUUAUUACAUUUCACCCCUUGCUGAGGGUUCCCUGGUACCUUUGAGAAGGUCUGGGGGUUAAGGUAUAUAGUCUUUGUCAUUGGCUCAAGCGCUCAUCAGUACAUGAUUCCCAAUUUUAGGGGGUCCCCUAUAUCCUGGUUCUCUUUAAACAUUAACAAUCCCAUUAGCUUUUUUUCAAAGUGACAUUUCCUUCCAAAGUAUGGCAAGCACAAACAUACAGACAAAAUCCUCCAGACUCCAUAGUUGGGGGAGAUGAGGUAGAUUAAUAUCACAGUUUAGUUCAAUUCCUAUAUAGCAUCAAUCCCACCAAGUUCUAAACUCCUUUGCCCCACCUUUGGCUUCUGUCCCAGCACCCUGGCUUUUCCAAGGCUUCCUUCCAUGUGAUUUGGAAUCCUGGCUCCAAGGUCCCUUACUCAAGUCUUUCUGCAUCUAGAACUAAAAAGGACAAAUGAAACAGACCAAACCCCAGGCCUGGACCUUAGAACCAUAAACCUAAAAGGAGAGGAAGGUAAUCUUUUUUCUCCCCAGCUUAGUAACUGGCCCGUACCCCCAGGUGCCUCUGGUCAGGUAUUGUGGUUAUCAAGCUGAUGGACCACGAGGCCACCACAGGCUGUCUGGUGUCUGCCACUAGAGGGCCUCUCUCUUAGGCAAUCUGGGUAUGCCCCCAAAUCCCAUUUCAAAUAAAAUCCAAUACAUAGGGUUACAAAGGAAAUCAGUUAUUCAGAAAUACGAUCUGAAACUGGGAUAACUUGCAAUCCAGUGGUGGGUCUAGUAACUACAGUCAUUUUGAAGUCGGGUUAAGUGUAAAUGUAACAGCAGUAAUGAGAUGGAAAAUUAUCUGGGAUUUCUGUUGGUGACACUCUUGGGUCUUGCUAGUAUUACUGUGGUGUGGUACCUACAUUCAUAAUUUAAGGAAAUGCUAAAUUGCAGUUAGAGAUUAGUGAAAAUAAUGAUGUCAUUUUGUCCCAUCCAGACUCUCGUCUCAUUCAUGUUCCAUGGAUUCCAGGUUAAGAACUCCUGAUCUAGAGUUUUGGUUACUGGUAUAUUUCUGUAUUGUCAUAUAGCCUUUAUCACUUAUUUUUUAGGUUUUCUAAGUCAAUAUGCAGCAGGAUAUGCAAGGAUCCUUACUGUUAGUGGCCCUAUUUCUAUUUGAGUUUACCACCAUUGUUAUGGAGGAAAGUCUGCUGGGUUUGGAGUCAGGAGACUUUGACAUUGGAAGUCUAACCCUGGCACUCUGGCAUAUACUUGUGGGGCUUUAGGUCUGCACAUCAAGACUAUAUUUACCUCAUAGAGUCAGGGACAACACCAUCUUUUUAUUUGAUUUUGGACUGUUCUGGUAUAAUUCAUUUAUGAAUACGUAAGGUUCUAGCACCAUCUUUUCAUCUGGCGGCUGAAUAAUGAUUUGCUCAGUCAUUCUCUGAUAGUGUGAUCAUAUCAGUUAUUUGUUGAUUAUUUUGUCAAUUUGGGUAUCCAUUUUUUGUAAGUAGUUAUCUCUAUAUUCUCUGUUUUGUUGCCACCUGUGUAGUAAUAUUCUCAAUCUUCUUUAUAUCAUCCUCAUUCCUUGUGAUUUCUCUCUUUCUCUUUUCCAAUUUUGAAAUUGGGAUUAUUUUUGAUUACGUGCCAGUGGUUUAUGUAUUUUAUUUAUCUUUUUUUUAAACAGCCAACUCUUUUUUUGUUAAUUUAGUGAUAUUUUUAUUUGAAAAAUGUUUUGGUUCAUUUCUCGUUUAAUUCUAGCAAUUUUCUUUUUUGGUCUCAUUUUGGAGGUAUUGAGCUGUUUAUUUUUAAUUUUUAAAAAAUAUUAAGUCAACUCAAACAUUUCCUAUUCCCCCUCCCCCCAUAUAAAUUGGCCCCUGAAUAUUGCUUUAGCCUUGUCCAAUAAAGUUGAUAUUAUA